rnacentral:tRNA from 1 species
GGUUCAAUGGUGUAGUUGGUUAUCACGUCUGUCUCACAAGCUCUGGCUUGGUCGCGCACAGGAGGCCUCCGGUUCGAACCCGGAUUGAACCA